CCAGUCGUACCUGCGGGUAAUCAGCCUUUUGGGCAUGAUUCUGUGGAGCGUGAGGAGUUAAACGCCUUCAUGCCUGCAUAUUCGUGUACUUUGGGUGUACUUGCCCGUGUGGUUAGUUAACAUCAAUUUUGGUUAUCAUAAAAUGGCUGGAGGAAUGUAGCUUCGAUUUCGAUUGAGUGUUAUAGCCUUCGGCAGAUGUGAUGAUCGGGAUUGAGGAUUGCAACGGAUACCCUUCGGGGCUACCUGUCUGGUCUCUGAUCGUUGCUCUGGUGCCGAAAGCGUGCUUACGGUUAUCAAAGUCGAUGGUCAAUAGGUUAGAACGGGUUAAA
rnacentral:rRNA from 1 species